rnacentral:rRNA from 1 species
GAUGAACGCUGGCGGCGUGCCUAAUACAUGCAAGUCGAGCGAACAGACGAGGAGCUUGCUCCUCUGACGUUAGCGGCGGACGGGUGAGUAACACGUGGAUAACCUACCUAUAAGACUGGGAUAACUUCGGGAAACCGGAGCUAAUACCGGAUAAUAUAUUGAACCGCAUGGUUCAAUAGUGAAAGACGGUUUUGCUGUCACUUAUAGAUGGAUCCGCGCCGCAUUAGCUAGUUGGUAAGGUAACGGCUUACCAAGGCAACGAUGCGUAGCCGACCUGAGAGGGUGAUCGGCCACACUGGAACUGAGACACGGUCCAGACUCCUACGGGGGGCAGCAGUAGGGAAUCUUCCGCAAGGGGCGAAAGCUUGACGGAGCAACGCCGCGUGAGUGAUGAAGGUCUUCGGAUCGUAAAACUCUGUUAUUAGGGAAGAACAAAUGUGUAAGUAACUAUGCACGUCUUGACGGUACCUAAUCAGAAAGCCACGGCUAACUACGUG